UACGAAGGGGGCUAGCGUUGUUCGGAUUUACUGGGCGUAAAGCGCACGUAGGCGGCCUAUUAAGUCAGGGGUGAAAUCCCGGGGCUCAACCCCGGAACUGCCUUUGAUACUGGUAGUCUUGAGUUCGAGAGAGGUGAGUGGAAUUCCGAGUGUAGAGGUGAAAUGCGCAGAUAUCAGGAGGAACACCCGUGGCGAAAGCGGCUCUCUGGGACGGUACUGACGCUGAGACGCGAAAGCGUGGGGAGCAAACAGG
rnacentral:rRNA from 1 species